AUCUGCCAUUUUUUUUUUUUUUUUGUACAUUUGUUGUGUAUAUGACUGGUUUUGUUUUUAAGUCUCAACAUUAAUAUGUCUUUGAAAAUGUUGUUAGAUCAGUAGAUGUUUUGAAGUGAAAAUAAUGAAGUAAUUUUUUUGUGCGAAUGUUAUUUUGAGAGUGUAAAUGGUUACGUUGUUGUUCAACAUUUAUUUGGGCUAGUAUGUUGUUAUUGUUUUGUAAAUAAUGUAGAGUUAUAGUAUGAAGAACUUUGUUUCCUCCAAACAUUUUUCAUUCCUCUCUGAACCACGAAUAAAAAUUGAAAUUUUCCUGCCUGAUGUAUUUAUCAUAUGUAGACUAAUUAUGUGCCUAAAUUCUUCAUGAGAACAUGAGCUCCUUUAUAAUGAUUGGUACAUCAAUUUUGACAGUGUCCACUAAUCUUUCUUUUUAUAUAUCUUUAUCUGAAACAUAGAAAUUUCUUAGAAUAAUUAUUUUUAAUUUAGCUACCAGUGCAUAAAUGUUCUUAAAUACAAAUCUAGUGGAAAAUUUAGACUAAUGGAUUACAUGUUUCAAGAUUUAUCCUCAAUUCCACAAGACUAUAAUUUUUAGUUUUGAUAUUUUGGCUAUUCUGCACAUCGACGCAAUUUAGGCCAUGUCAUGCCCAUUUAGUUUUUAAUACUGCUAUAUAUUAUAGUUCCUAACCACAGUUUUUGCUUUAAGAUAAUAGUGGCCAUACCAUCAUUAUAUUGCUUUAUAUGCUACCCUGUCUUUGUAAUUUAUCAGUAUUUGACUUAGUGAUUGAUAUGAUGAGAGUUAACUUAAGUAAAAAGUAAAAGUACCCUUUCAGACCUUGCAGUAAUGAGAAGGUCCAAUAAAUUCUGUCUAUUCUUAAUGGUAAAACAAAUGGUUUUUAUAUGACUAGGGUUGUGAGAGUAAGAAAUCUUAAACAGUUGUAAUACUUUUUAGCUUCAUUUGUCAUGAGUUAUAUGUGACAUGUUAGUAAUGAUAUAUUUUUUACAUCUAAUUUAUUUAAAAAUUGUUAUCUGAAUAUGUUCAAUAUCACUAGCAAUAUUGUAAAUUAGAGUUCUUUUUUUUUCAAAGAAACAUACAAAGAGUGAAUCUUAUUUUCAAUAUAAAAUAAAGUCUGAGUUUAUAUAGAAGUCUAUAUAACAUCUUACUCCUAGAGAAAACUAUCAAGAUAAUGAAUUUAUUCUAGGAAUUUGAAGUUCGGUUGGGGGGGGGGGGG